GCAGAAUUCCGCGAAUCAUCGAGUCUUUGAACGCAAGUUGCGCCCGAGGCUUGUCUGAGGGCAUUUCCGCUAGAGCGUCACCGC
rnacentral:rRNA from 1 species